rnacentral:rRNA from 1 species
CCGCCGCGGUAAAACGUAGGAGGCGAGCGUUAUCCGGAUUUACUGGGUGUAAAGCGCGUGCAGGCGGUCAUGUAAGUGGUGCGUGAAAGCGCCCGGCUCAACCGGGCGAGGCCGUGCCAAACUGCGUGACUGGAGGCAGGUAGAGGCGCGUGGAAUUCCGGGUGUAGUGGUGAAAUGCGUAGAUAUCCGGAGGAACACCAGUGGCGAAGGCGGCGCGCUGGGCCUGACCUGACGCUAAGACGCGAAAGCAUGGGGAGCGAACGGGAUUAGAAACCCCGGUAGUCCAUGCUGUAAACGCUGCAGACUAGGUGUUGCGUGCGACGAGUAUGCAGUGCCGAAGCCAACGUGAUAAGUCUGCCACCUGGGGACUACGGCCGCAAGGUUAAAACUCAAAGGAAUUGACGGGGGCCCGCACAAGCAGCGGAGCGUGUGGUUUAAUUCGAGGCUACACGAAGAACCUUACCUGGGCUUGACAUGGCGGUGGUAGGGAACCGAAAGGGGACCGACCUUCGGGAGCCGUCACAGGUGCUGCAUGGCUGUCGUCAGCUCGUGUCGUGAGAUGUUCGGUUAAGUCCGGUAACGAGCGCAACCCUCGCCGCUAGUUACAAGUGUCUAGCGGGACUGCCCGUUGAACGCGGGAGGAAGGUGGGGAUGACGUCAAGUCAGCAUGGCCUUUAUGUCCAGGGCUACACACACGCUACAAUGGCCGGUACAAUGGGUCGCCAACCCGCGAGGGGGAGCCAAUCCAACAAAGCCGGUCUCAGUUCGGAUUGCAGGCUGCAACCCGCCUGCAUGAAGUCGGAGUUGCUAGUAACCGCAGGUCAGCUAUACUGCGGUGAAUACGUUCCCGGGC